rnacentral:rRNA from 1 species
GCGCGAAAACCUUUAACAAUAGCACGAAAAGUAGUGAUAAGGCAACUCCUUGUGCUUAUCCAAAAAGAAUAGGCUUUUUAGUUAUGUAAUGUAUACUAAGAAAUAAGUGAUGGGCGAAGACCGGUGCCAGCAGCCGCGGUAAUACCGGCGUCACAAGUGGAGAUCACGAUUACUGGGUCUAAAGUGUUCGUAGCUGGUCAUAUAAGUCUCUUGUGAAAGUUCUGUAGCUUAACUCAGAAUUGCAAGAGAUACUGUAUGACUUGAGACCGGAAGA